UGGACAGAUAAUUGUAUUCGACUGUAUUCACGGCAUGAAAUAGGGGAUUACACUGUUUUUAAAACGGAAAGUGAAUCAAUUAACAUAAUAGACUCCU
rfam:Nicotiana sylvestris Nsyl_contig24960, whole genome shotgun sequence.